UCGAUUAUGGCAUACCAGACGAUGUUAGAUUAUACAGCAAUAUAUAUAUAUAUAUUCCCACACAAAAAUACAUUUUCAGACUAUAAUUUAAGUGACAUAUAUAAUUUCUAUAAUCACAUCAAUACCCCAAUGUAUCAACUUACUAAGUUACUGCGAUGCAUUAAAAAAAAAACUUGCACAUAUUUGGCAUAAAAAUCAAUAUCAUCGACCUUUCAUUUAGAAGUAGCGUAAGCUUUAAGAUAUAGAAUGUAUCAUGCUGUAUGAGCAACAUAUCUAGCUACAAGCAACACAUAUAUGUGUAUAUAGGCAUACAAUUUCAAAAAUAAGCAUGACAUCAUGUCAUUCUAUGACAUUGAACCAUGCCGAACAACUAUGGAAAACAAGUAGGGGUAUUGCGCUGAAGUGAUAUACAGGGGUGAAAAGGUGUGCUUUUCGGUUGCUGGAAGGGGGGAUCCGCAAUAGCGCAUAUAAAAUAAUUACAGCUCGAGUCUGACUAACACGGAAAACGUUGCGCCUUUGCCGCCACCAAGUGGACACUGGUUCUUAUUACCAAUUAAUAUAUCCCAAUGACAAAAAUUCUGAAGUAUUAUUAGCGGAGAUCUUAAAAAUGUGAUAUUUAAAACACGUUUAAUACGUCCGGACAUACCACACCGCAAUUUGUACAGUUUGAAUGGUCAAAAAUGCAAAUGAUAUUCAGGAUAUUGAAAGAACAAAUUUUAAAAAUGGUCUUAAAUGUUAUACUUAUGUGCGAGUCAUUGUAAAGAAACGAGAAAAACUUUUAUUGAAAACAUAUUAUGGAAUUGUUUUCAGAUUACGAAAUUUAUUGCCUUAAAACGAUUAUUUGUAUACCUGUCCACUGGAGUUUUCUCAAAGUCCUGCUCGGUUUUUGGUAGGCCCUCUUGCAUGCAGCCUCCUGGGCAUACUUUCAACAACGGUGUUGCAAAUGGCUCCGUCAAAGCUCUCCCAUGCGCGGUGGAGCAUGUCUAUCAAAUUUUGUUUGUUGUUGGGUGGGUCUGUUGGGUACUUCCUCGCCAUCUCAGCCCAGAGUUGCUCAAUAGGAUUGAGAUUUUGCACUAUGUGGGGGCCACUCAAGCACUUUCGCCGCCUUCUGGGAGAGAAAGGCUAUACCACAUGCUUUUCAGUGUGCUUGGGGUUGUUAUCUUGGCGACAUCCAAGCAGUUUGGCAGCAGAUGGGAUAAUCUGGGUGGACAGGAGCUCCUCAUACACCUCGGAAUUCAUGAUGCCAUCAGUAAAAUGCAAAUUGCUGACACCAGAGCUGCCAUGCAAUCCCAAACCAAUGCGCUCCCGCCACCAUGUUUGAUGGUUGGAUUUAGGCACUGGGCACAUACUCCUCCUUUGAGUUGCACCAUGCUCUCUGAUGACCAUCUGAUCCAAACAUGUUGAAUUUGGAGUCAUCAGACCAUACGAUCGAUUUCCAGAAGCUGAAUAAUGGUUUCACCGAUCUCGGAUUUCUGGAUGAUAUCGUGCACAGAAGUGUGCCUCGUGUCACGGGCUCUGGAAUUUCGAUCAGGAGGGCAGGGCAUGGUGAGGGCGGGAAUAAGGAGGCGGAUGAUCUGUUUGCAGCGCACAGGAUGAACGGCUCACAGAAACCGAAAACACGGGAAACAUCACGAAACAAUGGACCACGAGGGGUCAAAAAGCAAAUAGGGAAAAACAAAGACUAACUAUCAAGGGUCAGGGCAACGAGGAGCAGGCAGGCAGGCGAAGUACAAAUAACGCAACACAGGGUAACAGGGACUCUGAAUACAACUCAAAUACACCAUCUGAAAAGAACAUGAAAUAUAUUACUGACAUACAAUAUCAAAAAUGACAGGAGGAACAGAACAGGAACUUAAAUACAAAAAGCUAACAAAAGUAAUGCAGGACAAGUGAAAACAAUUAACAAGUGAAACUAAUAAAACUAAAAUCAUGAUACUCAAACUAGGAAAAAGAAUCUUACACUAGGGGAAUAACAGACAAGUAACACACAACCAUGGGCACAAAGUCAAAAACCAAAACGGGAUACAAAUCACAAAACACAGGAACUAGAAAACUGAUACAAAUGAAACUAGGGAGCAAAAUCAAAAGACAAAAACAAAGGAGGCAGGAUUCAAACACAGGACUGAGAGGAUUACAGGUAGCUGCAUACUCAGCUCAUUGAACUAUGCGGCUGUCUGGGGAGCAAGAGAAUCUUUAAAGACGGACAAUGGGUAGGACAGGAUGGCUAGUGACACCUGCUGGCCAAACAUGGAAAAGACAUGAAAGAAUCGGACAGAUGGGUGCAGACCCUGACAGCCUUAUAUCAAGUCCAGUGGCAAUUUUUUUUUUUUAACAGAAAGACCCUAGCUGACUGUGAAAUUUUAUGAUUCUUUCCCUCAAUGUAUUGGGUAUUUCAGCAGUUUUAACCAUGUUGGAAAACUCAACUAACCCUAUAAAUGCUCCUGUGGGGAAUGACCACCAAGACUUGUAGAAACUAAGGGCACUCAAUUAACUGCCUAUUUGGGACACCUGCUGUUAUGUGUUGUGUUAAAUGAUCUCUGUUAUGACUGGGAACUCCUCCCGUUGUCAUCUAUUCGCCCAACUCUGAAUGGCCAGGUAUGCAAAUGAUUAUUUGAAGGCAAUAAAUUACAUAAUUUGAAUACGAUUCCAGAAUGUGUUUUGCAUAAAAUUUUUUCCUUGUUUCUUUACAUAGCAAACACAUAAUUGUAACAUUUAGACAGUUUGCUCUUCAAUAUCCUGAAUUUCAUUUCCAUUUUUGAUUACACUGUACUUUGGCUACACUGUAUAUAUAAAUCAAUUUAUGAAAUAGUGAUAAUAAUAAAGCUACAGUCGAACAUUUGAA